rnacentral:rRNA from 1 species
ACGAACGCUGGCGGCGUGCUUAACACAUGCAAGUCGAACGGAAAGGCCCUGCUUUUGUGGGGUGCUCGAGUGGCGAACGGGUGAGUAACACGUGAGUAACCUGCCCUUGACUUUGGGAUAACUUCAGGAAACUGGGGCUAAUACCGGAUAGGAGCUCCUGCUGCCUGGUGGGGGUUGGAAAGUUUCGGCGGUUGGGGAUGGACUCGCGGCUUAUCAGCUUGUUGGUGGGGUAGUGGCUUACCAAGGCUUUGACGGGUAGCCGGCCUGAGAGGGUGACCGGCCACAUUGGGACUGAGAUACGGCCCAGACUCCUACGGGAGGCAGCAGUGGGGAAUAUUGCACAAUGGGCGGAAGCCUGAUGCAGCAACGCCGCGUGCGGGAUGACGGCCUUCGAGUUGUAAACCGCUUUCGCCUGUGACGAAGCGUGAGUGACGGUAAUGGGUAAAGAAGCACCGGCUAACUACGUG